rnacentral:rRNA from 1 species
AUGAAUCUCAUCAGUUGGAACUGCCGGGGCGGGGGGAACUCUCGGACUGUUCGAGAAAUUGUGACGCUCUCGCAGUCGCACUCCCCCAUGUUGGUUUUCCUUUGCGAUACCAGACAAAAAGCAACAAAAAUGAGAAGAAUCUGUGGACGCCUCGAAUUGAAAUGUUUUGACGGGGUGGACAGUAAUGGUUUGAGUGGUGGCCUAGCUCUUUUCUGGCAUGAGUCUUGUGUGGUUGAAAUCCUAGACGAGGAACGGUAUAUCGAUGCUCUGGUGAAGGUACAUGCAGAUGCAGAACAGUGGAGAGUCACCUUUGUUUAUGGUGAACCACGAGUGGAGAAUCGCCACCUCAUGUGGGCCAAAUUACAGGGUCUAACGAGUGUGUGUGAUAGGCCUUGGCUUGUUCUUGGUGAUUUUAAUGAAGCUCUUUGGGAUUUCGAACACCUGUCGGCUACCCCUAGACCGUAA